rnacentral:rRNA from 1 species
GACGAACGCUGGCGGCGUGCCUAAUACAUGCAAGUUGAGCGAUGAAGAUUGGUGCUUGCACCAAUUUGAAGAGCAGCGAACGGGUGAGUAACGCGUGGGGAAUCUGCCUUUGAGCGGGGGACAACAUUUGGAAACGAAUGCUAAUACCGCAUAACAACUUUAAACAUAAGUUUUAAGUUUGAAAGAUGCAAUUGCAUCACUCAAAGAUGAUCCCGCGUUGUAUUAGCUAGUUGGUGAGGUAAAGGCUCACCAAGGCGAUGAUACAUAGCCGACCUGAGAGGGUGAUCGGCCACAUUUGGACUGAGACACGGCCCAAACUCCUACGGGAGGCAGCAGUAGGGAAUCUUCGGCAAUGGACGAAAGUCUGACCGAGCAACGCCGCGUGAGUGAAGAAGGUUUUCGGAUCGUAAAACUCUGUUGGUAGAGAAGAACGUUGGUGAGAGUGGAAAGCUCAUCAAGUGACGGUAACUACCCAGAAAGGGACGGCUAACUACGU